rnacentral:lncRNA from 1 species
CAUGACCUAGAAGUACUACUCCAUUCCCCAUAGGUAGUUGUCUACUUCCUUGGCCGCCCUAGUCCUCUUGAACUCCUUAGGCUUAGGGACAUCUAAUCUGGAUUUGGACACUCUAGCAAACAUGCCAUUCCCAAUGACAGUCUUGCAAGAAAUGAGCUCACUGGCAAGCUCCUCCAUCCACUAGCGCAUGGCCUCCAUGCCAUCGCACAACGACGGAACUUGAUACUUGAAGAGCAGGUCAUGAAUGAUAUGUUUGAAGAGCUGGAGGUUUUGAGGAGGGGUCUUCGCGAACAAGAGGACCAGGAUAGGGCUAUCACCCGCUGAGCCAUCCGAAUAAGGCAAAAGCCUAUCUUUUAAAGGAAAGGAAGAGCAGAACCCUUAGCUCCUCGGGUAAGUAGGUAAGUCUUAGGUGUAUUAGCAGUAGAACUACCCUUCCUUUGAUGGGAAUACUUUCUCACUCGGCCUAGGGCUAGCGACUACGGAUACCUUAAUUGAAUCCUCUCCCAGAGCUUUGGAAGCGUAAUCUUUCACUGCUUUGACUUUGUUCGUGGAGGCCUCCAUGCCAUCGUGCAAGGUCAGCACUUCAGCCUCCAAGGCCUCCUUUGGGUGAACACGUCCAUACCUUUGUUGAGAGCAGUUUGCAGCUCACCUUAGAUCUCUUCCCCCAUUGAGUCUAGCGAUGCAAUAUGAGUCUCCAUUUCCUCAAACUUCUCCUCUAUGUCGCCCAUGGUCACCUCCACCUUGGCCAACCUACGUCCAUGGUAGACCAUAUAUCUCUUGAACUGACUUUUCUACCUCUUCCAGCCCCUGUUCUUGAGCCUCUGGUUGUUGGUUAGCAACAUCGCUUUGGGAUGCCAUCUCCUCAAUCACGAUCUAACCUGUACAACACAAACACGUAGAAUCGAACUUGCUCUGAUACCACUUGUCAUGGGUCAAGACUUAAGCUCCGAACCCACGCAGCUUCGGACUAGGACAUCCACUCAUCCGACAUCCUGGAUCAGCCUACCUGGCACAGUUCACACUCUUGUGAGAUAUUAUCAGCUCUGGCCCUUCUGACCUCACGGUUUUAUCCUACAAAAUGCGCCUCACAAGGCAGAGGUGGUGUGAACCCUUUUAUACCUCAGUGACCCUCUUAUUAUGUUCGAUGUGAGAUUCAAAACUCUUCCUUAAAUCCGUGACAUAGGCACUUGGCUUAAAACAACAUCCUUUCUUUUUUGUCUUUCCUAGCUAUGAUCAUCCUAUCCCUUUUUCCUUUGAAAUCCUUGAUUUUAUCUGAGGGAAGUGAAUCAAAUUUAGUCUAUGUUUAAAACUAGGAAAAUUUCCCUUCCAGAAAAUGAAUAAGUCGAAACAUUUUUUUUUUUUUCAUGUUGUUAAACUAGA